GCCGGGUGUGGUGGCUCACACCUGUAAUCCCAGCACUUUGGGAGGCUGAGGUGUGAGGAUUGCUUGAGGCCAGGAGGUUGAGGCCGCAGUGAGCCAGGACUGCGUCACUGCACUCCAGCCUGGGCAACAGAGCAAGACCUUGUCUCAA
rnacentral:SRP_RNA from 1 species